rnacentral:rRNA from 1 species
GUACCUACGGGAGGCAGCAGUGAGGAAUAUUGGUCAAUGGCCGAGAGGCUGAACCAGCCAAGUCGCGUGAGGGAUGACGGCCCUACGGGUUGUAAACCUCUUUUGUCGGGGAGCAAAGAGAGUCACGUGUGACUCAUUGAGAGUACCCGAAGAAAAAGCAUCGGCUAACUCCGUGCCAGCAGCCGCGGUAAUACGUAGGGGGCAAGCGUUAUCCGGAUUUACUGGGUGUAAAGGGAGCGUAGACGGCAGCACAAGUCUGAAGUGAAAUGCCGGGGCUUAACCCCGGAACUGCUUUGGACACUGUG